GACGGAGGGUGCAAGCGUUGUUCGGAAUUACUGGGCGUAAAGCGUACGUAGGCGGCGGAUUAAGUCGAAUGUUAAAGCCUGGGGCUCAACCCCAGAGAUGCACUCGAUACUGGUCUGCUAGAGGGUGAUAGAGGAAAGUGGAAUUCCCAGUGUAGCGGUGAAAUGCGUAGAUAUUGGGAGGAACAUCAGUAGCGAAGGCGACUUUCUGGGUCACACCUGACGCUGAGGUACGAAAGCGUGGGGAGCAAACGGGAUUAGAAACCCCAGUAGUCC
rnacentral:rRNA from 1 species